UCCCAUUACGAUUUGGUUAAAAUGUAUUAUUUAAAACAAAACUACUCUGAGAUCCAAGAUACAACGUCGAGAUUAUUUACGGAGCACUGAAUGUCUCUUUCCUCAUAUGGCUCCUACAACUGAUAGCACAAGUGGGGGGUGAGGAUUCCUUGUAUUCCUCACGUUGCAUCGUUAAGAUUUGCUCCAGACUCUCCCAGUGUGUGUGUAAGAGACGCUCGGCUCCUGACCCCCUUACAGCCUUGGUUCAAACAUAGACAAAAAAGACUGAAUUCCAAAGAUUGACUGCAUGCUGCUUAAAGAGUUUAUGCAUAUGUCGGUUCCACUGAUCAUCCUCAUUUGGUGCCUCUCUACAUUGGCACAUGCACACAUGGCCCUCCUCUUGAUGUGUGAGAGAUACCAGGAAAAAUUGGCUGCCAUGGCUCACUUUCCUCAUCAUCAGACAUAUCCUUGGAGGAUACAGUUCUCACCAUCACAUCCUCCUCUGCAGGGCUUCACUCUACAACAUCAGGUUGUGCAAUGCACUGGAAACUAUGCUGAUAGGUCAUAACAUAUUUUAAUUUUUGAGAACUUGUGUUCUAAAUUGUAGGAAUGAUGUAGAUAUUUAAGUGUGAUUAUUUUUCUAUUAUAUGUUAAGUGGAAGACAUGACUUUUAGUUUCAUUUUGGAUUAGCUCUGUGAGUGGUGUUGGAUGUCAGGUGAUUUGCAAACUGCACAUAUACCAUCUAGACAAGGUGCUUUAAAGUGGAGAUAAGGUGACCAUGCACUGAGGUUUGAUUGUGUGUAAUGUUGUUGUGGGGUUAAACAUUUGUAUCUUUCUUUCUGGUAUUUGUAACAAGACCAUUUCACACAGGUCUUGGACAGUGGUAAAGUAGUUGCUGUUUUGUCU